UACGUAGGGUGCGAGCGUUGUCCGGAAUUAUUGGGCGUAAAGGGCUCGUAGGCGGUUUGUCACGUCGGGAGUGAAAACUCAGGGCUUAACCCUGAGCCUGCUUUCGAUACGGGCAGACUAGAGGUAUGCAGGGGAGAAUGGAAUUCCUGGUGUAGCGGUGAAAUGCGCAGAUAUCAGGAGGAACACCGGUGGCGAAGGCGGUUCUCUGGGCAUUACCUGACGCUGAGGAGCGAAAGCCAGGGGAGCGAACGGG
rnacentral:rRNA from 1 species